UGUUUUCGCAUCUGGGUUUUGCUUUUCAAUUGAAUUUGAAAGUACCCAAAGCAUUUCUGCGGGAGAGGUCUGUGUCCGUAUAAGAAACCUAUCUCUCUGUCUUGAAAGAGAAGUUCUAGAUUUUCGGACCCAGAUCUGCUUCUUUUCAUGUUUUUUUGUUCAAGUCUCAUAAAGCUGGGCAAAGCCGUAAGUUUUAUGCUUGUGAUUUGUAGGGCAGAGAACGCUUUGGCGAAGGAGGAAGGCAAGAGGGGUUGUUUGUUUUCUGGGAAAUAACUUUCCAUGGGGGUUUGUCUAAGUGCUAGAAUCAAGGCUGAGAGCCCAUGCCACAC
rnacentral:lncRNA from 1 species